rnacentral:rRNA from 1 species
GAUGAACGCUGGCGGCGUGCCUAAUACAUGCAAGUCGAGCGAACGGACGAGAAGCUUGCUUCUCUGAUGUUAGCGGCGGACGGGUGAGUAACACGUGGAUAACCUACCUAUAAGACUGGGAUAACUUCGGGAAACCGUAGCUAAUACCGGAUAAUAUUUUGAACCGCAUGGUUCAAAAGUGAAAGACGGUCUUGCUGUCACUUAUAGAUGGAUCCGCGCUGCAUUAUCUAGUUGGUAAGGUAACGGCUUACCAAGGCAACGAUGCAUAGCCGACCUGAGAGGGUGAUCGGCCACACUGGAACUGAGACACGGUCCAGACUCCUACGGGAGGCAGCAGUAGGGAAUCUUCCGCAAUGGGCGAAAGCCUGACGGAGCAACGCCGCGUGAGUGAUGAAGGUCUUCGGAUCGUAAAACUCUGUUAUUAGGGAAGAACAUAUGUGUAAGUAACUGUGCACAUCUUGACGGUACCUAAUCAGAAAGCUACGGCUAACUACGUG